GGUCAGGAUGAACGCUGGCGGCGUGCUUAACACAUGCAAGUCGAACGAGGCUUGCCAUCGGAAGUUUCGGAUGGAAGAAGGCAAGACCGAGUGGCGGACGGGUGAGUAACGCGUGGGGAACCUGCCCCAUUCCGGGGGAUACCAGUUGGAAACGACUGUUAAUACCGCAUAAGCGCACGGCAUCGCAUGAUGCAGUGUGAAAAAACCACGGUGGAAUGGGAUGGCCCCGCGUCUGAUUAGCCAGUUGGCAGGGUAACGGCCUACCAAAGCGACGAUCAGUAGCCGGCCUGAGAGGGCGACCGGCCACAUUGGGACUGAGACACGGCCCAAACUCCUACGGGAGGCAGCAGUGGGGAAUAUUGCACAAUGGGGGAAACCCUGAUGCAGCCGACGCCGCGUGAGUGAAGAAGUAUUUCGGUAUGUAAAGCUCUAUCAGCAGGGAAGAAGAUGACGGUACCUGCACAAGAAGCCCCGGCUAACUACGUGCCAGCCGCAGC
rnacentral:rRNA from 1 species